rnacentral:lncRNA from 1 species
CGGGUACACUUCAGGCUUUGGUGGCGCCUCCACGAAAAUCUUUUUGCUUUUAAUCCACAAUAACCGCAAAGGCUGGAACUUUCACUUCCUCCAUCUGGGGUGAGAGGCAGCUUGGCCAUGAGUAUGAAAUCAUCAUUUCCACCUGGUCUGAGUCCCGGUCCAGUGAGGCGAGGACCCUGCUGUUUCAACAGAGGGUUUCCCAUCACAAGGGGACUAGGUGUAAAGUCGAUCACUAGCUCACUAGGAAGCGCAAAAAGGGAACUCUCAGGCAGCACUGUCCACCAGGAAGAUGAUGCAGGCCACGUGUGGAAUUUUUCAUUUUUAGUAGCCAUAUUAAAAAAGUAAAAGGAGGGCCGGGCACAGUGGCUCAUCCCUGUAAUCCCAGCAUUUUGGGGAGGCGGGGGCUGAGGCAGGAGGAUAGCUUGAGCCCAGGAGUUCAAGACCAGCCUGGGCAACAUAGUGAAACCCCUUCACAGAAAAAUUAAAAAAUUAGCCAGGUUGGCCGGGCGCAGUGGCUCACGCGUGUAAUCCCAGCACUUUGGGAAGCCAAGGUGGGCAGAUUACGAGGUCAGGAGAUCGAGACCAUCCUGGCUAACAAGGUGAAACCCCGUCUCAACUAAAAAUACAGAAAUUAGCCGGGCGUGGUGGCGGGCGCCUGUAGUCCCAGCUACUCGGGAGGCUGAAGCAGGAGAAUGGCGUGAACCCAGGAGGCGGAGCUUGCGGUGAGCCGAGAUUGCGCCACUGCACUCAGCCUAGGCAAUAGAGCGAGACUCCGUCUCAAAAAAAAAAAAAAAAAAAAAAAAAUUAGCCAGGUAUGGUGGCGUGCACCUGUAAUCCCAGCUACACAGGAGGCCAAGGCAGGAGGAUUGCUUGAGCCUAGGGGUUCAAAGUUGCAGUGAGCUAUGAUCGUGCCACUGCACUCCAGCCUAGGCAACAUGGUGAGACCCUGUCUAUAAGAGCUUAAAAAAAAAAAAGGAAAUUUGGGGGAUAGAAAAAAGAAAUGAAAUUUAAAAAAAAAAGAAAAAAGGGCGUGAGCCACCGCGCCUGGUCUAUUUUUUCUUCAUUGUGGUCAAAUGCACACAACAUAAAACUGGCCAGUUGCUAUUCUCCUGAUGGUGGGC